rnacentral:rRNA from 1 species
UACGUAGGGCGCAAGCGUUAUCCGGAAUUAUUGGGCGUAAAGAGCUCGUAGGCGGUUUGUCGCGUCUGCCGUGAAAGUCCGGGGCUCAACUCCGGAUCUGCGGUGGGUACGGGCAGGCUAGAGUUGGAUGAGGGGAGGACUGGAAUUCCUGGUGUAGCGGUGAAAUGCGCAGAUAUCAGGAGGAACACCGGUGCGGAAGGCGGGUCUCUGGGCGAUACUGACGCUGAGGAGCGAAAGCGUGGGGAGCGAACAGGAUUAGAACCGU